rnacentral:lncRNA from 1 species
ACCAUUGAACUUACAUAUGACUGGAGAAAGAAGGGAAGGAACGAUCGUACCCAAGGCAUAAAGAAAAACUGUUGUUCCCAGCUGUUGCUCACAAUGCAGAGUUCAGUUGCUUUCGUUCUGCUUCUGGUGUUCUCCAAUUUGUUCUCCAUUGGUAAUUUCGUUGUCCCUUUUCAGUAUCACUGCUAUUUCUCUUUUUUGUUCCUGGGGUUUUAGGGAAACUGCAUCCAUGCGUGCUUGUUUGAGUUUACUUUUUAUCAACUAAAAAUGCAGGCUUGAGUUUGACGCAAGAGACCGAGUACACUUGCGCCGAGUCUUUUGAUCUCCCGGUAUGUGACAAGUUUGCCUGUGUCCAGAUAUGCGUGAAAGAAGGUGAUGGAUGGGAAAACGGGGCAUGCAUCGGCCAACAUAAAUGCUGCUGCAAGUUCCUUUAUAGGCACUAUUAGUUCCCCUUCACUCACAAAUGAUGUUGCAUCAUCUCAUCUGAGAUGAUCAAUCCUUCUUCUUUUUUUUUUUGUUUGUUUUUGGAGCAAGAGGAUAAUAAAUCGUGUCCUGGACUUGCAUGUGGGAUAUUUUUAGAUGGACUAGCAAUCUUGAUCAAUCCAUUGGGAACAAUGUCAAAUUUUCUCGUGCAUAUUUCGGUUGUUUUGGGGAUGAGUAAGUAAACAUUGCCAACGGAGUGAUUUGCUCAAUACUCAAUUGACAAAGUUCUUUUGAUUCUUAAAAUAACUCAUUCGGAUCAGGGUGAAAAGUAUCAUCAUUCUCCCAAUUCGUAUAUGGUAUCCUGGGUGCAAUUGUACUAGGAUGGUAAAGAAAGAG